GACGAACGCUGGCGGCGUGCUUAACACAUGCAAGUCGAACGGAAAGGCCCUGCUUUUGUGGGGUGCUCGAGUGGCGAACGGGUGAGUAACACGUGAGUAACCUGCCCUUGACUUUGGGAUAACUUCAGGAAACUGGGGCUAAUACCGGAUAGGAGCUCCUGCUGCAUGGUGGGGGUUGGAAUGUUUCGGCGGUUGGGUAUGGACUCGCGGCUUAUCAGCUUGUUGGUGGGGUAGUGGCUUACCAAGGCUUUGACGGGUAGCCGGCCUGAGAGGGUGACCGGCCACAUUGGGACUGAGAUACGGCCCAGACUCCUACGGGAGGCAGCAGUGGGGAAUAUUGCACAAUGGGCGGAAGCCUGAUGCAGCAACGCCGCGUGCGGGAUGACGGCCUUCGGGUUGUAAACCGCUUUCGCCUGUGACGAAGCGUGAGUGACGGUAAUGGGUAAAGAAGCACCGGCUAACUACGUG
rnacentral:rRNA from 1 species